GUCUUGGGUGAAUCGACGUAGUCGUUGUCACUUGGGCGUAGCUUUGGGAUCUACGUUUAGUGAGUGCUCGAUCAACUCCCUGGGCACCCCCGGCAUAUCAGAUGGUUUCCAUGCAAAAAUAUCUCAGUUGUCCUGGAGGAAGUUAACAAGCAUGUCUUCCUAUUUAAGGUCUAGCCCUAAACCAAUCAGAGCUAUCUUGGAGCUAUCGCACGUCUCGAGGUCAAUAGCUUUGAUAUCAACUUCACCUGCCGCCUUGACCUUGGUUGCC
rnacentral:lncRNA from 1 species